UACUAAAGGAAAAGAAAUCAGUAUAUCAAAAGGAUACCUGCACCCCCUGUUUUUUGCAACACUAUUCACAAUAGCCAAGAUAUGGAAUCAACCUAAGUAUCCACCAACAGAUGAAUGGAUAAGAAAAUGUGAUAGGUGAAGGUCGGUGAGUUGGUGCGGAGUUCAUCUCGGCACGCGUGAUUGGGCCAGGAUGGAUACCUCUUCGUCUUCCUCCGCGGCAGCUUUGGGCGCUGUGGACCCGCAGUUGCAGCAUUUCAUCGAGGUGGAGACCCAUAAGCAACGCUUCCAGCAGCUGGUGCACCAGAUGACCGAACUUUGUUGGGAGAAGUGCAUGGACAAGCCUGGGCCAAAGUUGGACAGUCGGGCUGAGGCCUGUUUUGUGAACUGCGUUGAGCGCUUCAUUGAUACAAGCCAAUUCAUCUUGAAUCGACUGGAACAGACCCAGAAAUCCAAGCCAGUAUUCUCAGAAAGCCUUUCUGACUGAUCUCAGCAUUACCUUUUUGGAAAAAGAAGGUAGUUCAAGAAAUGAAGAGCUGUUGAUGGGAUGAUUGAAGAAAUGGCUAUGGGGAAAUUGGCUCCCAUCUUUUGUCACUCUUGGGACAUCAUGUUAUCUGAGAAAGAACAAAGACCAAUUUGUGUGUGGGGGGGGGGCUUGAGGGUUAUAUGUGUAUUUGGUUGUGUUUUUUAAUGCUAAUCUUGUGAAAAUAAUUGACAGAUGAAUGGAAAACUCUAUUAGAUGUAUGUUACUGUGUGUGGGACUAUGCUUUUCUCAAAGGCCCAUUAACUGCUUCCUGUAAUUUUGAUAGUGGAACUGCUUUCUAUAAUUUGAUAGUGGGACCACAUAGGUAAAAUCUGUCAUUUGGUUGGAUUCAUUUCAGAUUUCUGGGGAGAUCAUUCUAUCUUUAAGAAAGGAUAGCAGUGGGGGAAGGAUAAUUUGGUAUUUAACUGUGGGCCUCCUUAUCUAGUGUUUGACUAUCAAUGUUGGGGAAAAAAGAUCUAUGGAGUGUUCAUACCGUGCA